GGCCCCGUGGCGAAAUUGGAAUCCGCAGGAGAUUUAAGUCCUCCCGUCGUAAGGCAUACCGGUUCGAGUCCGGUCGGGGCUACCA
rnacentral:tRNA from 1 species